ACCAAUUGCGAAGGCAGGUUACUACGUACUUAUUGACGCUGAUGAACGAAAGCGUGGGUAGCGAACAGGAUUAGAUACCCUGGUAGUCCACGCCGUAAACGAUGGAUACUAGCUGUUCGGACUUCGGUUUGAGUGGCUAAGCGAAAGUGAUAAGUAUCCCACCUGGGGAGUACGUUCGCAAGAAUGAAACUCAAAGGAAUUGACGGGGGCCCGCACAAGCGGUGGAGCAUGUGGUUUAAUUCGAUGAUACGCGAGGAACCUUACCAGGGCUUAAAUGUAGAUUGACAGGUUUGGAAACAGACUUUUCUUCGGACAAUUUACAAGGUGCUGCAUGGUUGUCGUCAGCUCGUGCCGUGAGGUGUCAGGUUAAGUCCUAUAACGAGCGCAACCCCUAUUGUUAGUUACCAGCGCGUUAAGGCGGGGACUCUAGCAAGACUGCCGGUGCAAACCGUGAGGAAGGUGGGGAUGACGUCAAAUCAUCACGGCCCUUACGUCCUGGGCUACACACGUGCUACAAUGGCAAGUACAGAAAGCAGCUACCUGGCAACAGGAUGCGAAUCUCCAAAGCUUGUCUCAGUUCGGAUUGGAGUCUGCAACUCGACUCUAUGAAGCUGGAAUCGCUAGUAAUCGGAUAUCAGCCAUGAUCCGGUGAAUACGUUCCCGGGCCUUGUACACACCGCCCGUCAAGCCAUGGAAGCUGGGGGUGCCUGAAGUCGGUGACCGCAAGGAGCUGCCUAGGGUAAAACUAGUGACUGGGCUA
rnacentral:rRNA from 1 species